rnacentral:rRNA from 1 species
CAGUAGCCGCGGUAAUACGUAGGUGGCAAGCGUUGUCCGGAAUUAUUGGGCGUAAAGGGCUCGCAGGCGGUUUCUUAAGUCUGAUGUGAAAGCCCCCGGCUCAACCGGGGAGGGUCAUUGGAAACUGGGAAACUUGAGUGCAGAAGAGGAGAGUGGAAUUCCACGUGUAGCGGUGAAAUGCGUAGAGAUGUGGAGGAACUCCAGUGGCGAAGGCGGCUCUCUGGUCUGUAACUGACGCUGAGGCACGAAAGCGUGGGGAGCAAACAGGAUUAGAUACCCCCGUAGUCCCUGUCUCUUAUAC